CAUGUACUCCCUCCGUCCGGAAAUACUUGUCAUCGAAAUGGACAAAAGGGGAUGUAUCUAGACGUAUUUUAGUUCUAGAUACAUCCCUUUUUAUCCAUUUUGAUGACAAGUAUUUUCGGACGGAGGGAGUAACAA
rfam:Triticum urartu cultivar G1812 contig316091, whole genome shotgun sequence.